rnacentral:rRNA from 1 species
CCUACGGGAGGCAGCAGUGGGGAAUAUUGGGCAAUGGACGAAAGUCUGACGCAGCAACGCCGCGUGAGGGAAGACGGUUUUCUGAUCGUAAACCUCUGUUUGUAGAGAAGAACACCUACAUUCGUAACUACCCCUGAACUGACGGUACCUAUCAAGGAAGCCUCGGCUAACUCCGUGCCAGCAGCCGCGGUAAUACGGAGGGGGCUUGCGUUGAUCGGAUUUAUUGGGCGUAAGGCGAGCGUAGGCGGUAUGUUAAGUCAGGGGUGAAAGCCCCGGGCUCAACGGGGGAACUGCCUUUAAUACUGGGGAACUAGAGUGUAGAAGAGGAGGGUGGAAUUCCAGGUGUAGCGGUGAAAUGCGUAGAGAUAUGGAGGAACACCAGUGGCGAAGGCGGCUAACUGGAAUAUAACUGACGCUGAGGCGCGAAAGCGUGGGGAGCAAACAGGAUUAGAUACCCGAGUAGUC